GACGAACGCUGGCGGCGUGCUUAACACAUGCAAGUCGAACGGAAAGGCCCUGCUUUUGUGGGGUGCUCGAGUGGCGAACGGGUGAGUAACACGUGAGUAACCUGCCCUUGACUUUGGGAUAACUUCAGGAAACUGGGGCUAAUACCGGAUAGGAGCUCCUGCUGCAUGGUGGGGGGUGGAAAGUUUCGGCGGUUGGGGAUGGACUCGCGGCUUAUCAGCUUGUUGGUGGGGUAGUGGCUUACCAAGGCUUUGACGGGUAGCCGGCCUGAGAGGGUGACCGGCCACAUUGGGACUGGGGUACGGCCCAGACUCCUACGGGAGGCAGCAGUGGGGAAUAUUGCACAAUGGGCGGAAGCCUGAUGCAGCAACGCCGCGUGCGGGAUGACGGCCUUCGGGUUGUAAACCGCUUUCGCCUGUGACGAAGCGUGAGUGACGGUAAUGGGUAAAGAAGCACCGGCUAACUACGUG
rnacentral:rRNA from 1 species